UGGGGAAUUUUGGACAAUGGGCGAAAGCCUGAUCCAGCAAUGCCGCGUGUGUGAAGAAGGCCUUCGGGUUGUAAAGCACUUUUGUCCGGAAAGAAAUCCUUGGCUCUAAUACAGUCGGGGGAUGACGGUACCGGAAGAAUAAGCACCGGCUAACUACGUGCCAGCAGCCGCGGUAAUACGUAGGGUGCAAGCGUUAAUCGGAAUUACUGGGCGUAAAGCGUGCGCAGGCGGUUUGCUAAGACCGAUGUGAAAUCCCGGGCUCAACCUGGGAACUGCAUUGGUGACUGGCAGGCUAGAGUAUGGCAGAGGGGGGUAAAUUCCACGUGUAGCAGUGAAAUGCGUAGAGAUGUGGAGGAAUACCGAUGGCGAAGGCAGCCCCCUGGGCCAAUACUGACGCUCAUGCACGAAAAGCGUGGGGAGCAAACAGGAUUAGAUACCCUGGUAGUCCACGCCCUAAACGAUGUCAACUAGUUGUUGGGGAUUCAUUUCCUUAGUAACGUAGCUAGCGCGUGAAGUUGACCGCCUGGGGGAGUACGGUCGCAAGAUUAAAACUCAAAUGAAUUGACGGGGUCAUAGCUGUUUCCU
rnacentral:rRNA from 1 species